UACGAAGGGGGCUAGCGUUGCUCGGAAUCACUGGGCGUAAAGCGCACGUAGGCGGAUUGCUAAGUCAGGGGUGAAAUCCUGGAGCUCAACUCCAGAACUGCCUUUGAUACUGGCGACCUUGAGUCCGGGAGAGGUGAGUGGAACUGCGAGUGUAGAGGUGAAAUUCGUAGAUAUUCGCAAGAACACCAGUGGCGAAGGCGGACUCACUGGCCCCGGUACUGGACGCUGAGGUGCGAAAGCG
rnacentral:rRNA from 1 species